GUGUCAGCAGCCGCGGUAAGACGAAGGUGGCAAGCGUUGUUCGGUAUCACUGGGCUUAAAGCGUGUGUAGGCGGGAACGUAAGCAUUUUGUGAAAUCCCUCGGCUUAACCGAGGAAUUGCUUGAUGUACUGCGUUUCUUGAGGCAGGUAGGGGUGCGCGGAACUCUUGGUGGAGCGGUGGAAUGCGUAGAUAUCAAGAGGAACGCCGAUGGUGAAGACAGUGCACUAGGCCUGUCCUGACGCUGAGACACGAAAGCGUGGGGAGCGAACGGGAUUAGAAACCCUCGUAGUCC
rnacentral:rRNA from 1 species